AUCGAACGCUGGCGGCAUGCUUUACACAUGCAAGUCGAACGGCAGCGCGGGCUUCGGCCUGGCGGCGCGUGGCGAACGAGUGUGUAAUACACCGGAACGGCCCCAGCUGUGGGGGAUAGCUCGGCGAAAGCCGGAUUAAUACCGCAUACGACCUGAGGGUGAAAGCGGGGGAUCUUCGGACCUUGCGCCAUUGGAGCGGCCGACGGCCGAUUAGCUAGUUGGUGGGGUUAAGGCCUACUAAGGCGACGAUUUGUAGCUGGUCUGAGAGGACGACUAGCCACACUGGGACUGAGACACGGCCCAGGCGCCUACGGGAGGCAGCAGUGGGGAAUUUUGGACAGUGGGCGAAAGCCUGAUCCAGCAAUGCCGCGUGUGUGAUGGAGGCCUUCGGGUUGUGAAGCACUUUUGGCGGGAACGAAAAGGACUGUGCCAAUACCACGGUUCGAUGACGGUACCCGCAGAAUAAGCACCGGCUAACUACGUG
rnacentral:rRNA from 1 species